CGGCUGCCCGGAGAUUACCCACAAUGCACUGCACAGGACCUGAGGAGCACACAGCAGGGUCAGCUGGGCCAGAACCAGAACCUGGACCAGAACCUGGACCUGGACGGUAUUAAAGUGAACCGAAUCGGACCGGGUCCAACCGGGUCGGACUGAAUAACGUGACGCUCUCUGACUGCUCGCCUCCACAGCUGCUGCUGCAUCAUGACCUUCCUGGCAGAAAUUACAGGUUCCUUUCAGAACCAGAACCGGGUUUGGGCUCCCUCCCUGACAGAACCCGUCAGUGCAGCAGCAGUCAGAGUUCGGCAGCCAUGAUUCUCACCAGCAGCGUGUCGGCGGC